rnacentral:rRNA from 1 species
GAUGAACGCUAGCGGCGUGCCUAACACAUGCAAGUCGAACGUGAGAGGGUACUUGUAUCCUUGAAAGUGGCGGACGGGUGAGUAAGACGUAGGUGACCUGCCUCGGAGUGGGGGAUAACCAUUGGAAACGAUGGCUAAUACCGCAUAGGUUGGUGGUGAUGGGAAUUGCUAUCAACAAAGCUUCAGUGCUUUGAGAGGGGCCUACGGCCGAUUAGUUAGUUGGUGGGGUAAAGGCCUACCAAGGCGAUGAUCGGUAGCUGGUCUGAGAGGACGAUCAGCCACACGGGAACUGAGACACGGUCCCGACUCCUACGGGGGGCAGCAGUGAGGAAUAUUCGGCAAUGGGGGCAACCCUGACCGAGCAACGCCGCGUGGAGGAUGACGGUUUUCGGAUUGUAAACUCCUUUUCUGCGGGAAGAGGCAGGACGGUACCGCAGGAAUAAGUCACGGCUAACUACGUG